UUUUAGCGGGGGACAACAUUUGGAAACGAAUGCUUUACCGCAUAAAAACUUUAAACACAAGUUUUAAGUUUGAAAGAUGCAAUUGCAUCACUCAAAGAUGAUCCCGCGUUGUAUUAGCUAGUUGGUGAGGUAAAGGCUCACCAAGGCGAUGAUACAUAGCCGACCUGAGAGGGUGAUCGGCCACAUUGGGACUGAGACACGGCCCAAACUCCUACGGGAGGCAGCAGUAGGGAAUCUUCGGCAAUGGACGAAAGUCUGACCGAGCAACGCCGCGUGAGUGAAGAAGGUUUUCGGAUCGUAAAACUCUGUUGGUAGAGAAGAACGUUGGUGAGAGUGGAAAGCUCAUCAAGUGACGGUAACUACCCAGAAAGGGACGGCUAACUACGUGCCAGCAGCCGCGGUAAUACGUAGGUCCCGAGCGUUGUCCGGAUUUAUUGGGCGUAAAGCGAGCGCAGGUGGUUUAUUAAGUCUGGUGUAAAAGGCAGUGGCUUAACCAUUGUAUGCAUUGGAAACUGGUAGACUUGAGUGCAGGAGAGGAGAGUGGAAUUCCAUGUGUAGCGGUGAAAUGCGUAGAUAUAUGGAGGAACACCGGUGGCGAAAGCGGCUCUCUGGCCUGUAACUGACACUGAGGCUCGAAAGCGUGGGGGAGCAAACAGGAUUAGAUACCCUGGUAGUCCACGCCCGUAACGAUGGAGUGCUAGAUGUAGGGAGCUUAUAAGUUCUCUGUAUCGCAGCUUAAGCAUUAAGCACUCCCGCCUGGGGGAGUACGACCGCCAGGUUUGAAAACUCCAAAGAAUUUGACGGGGGGCCCCGCCACUAGCGGGGGGAGAUGGUGGUUUUAUUUCGGAACAACCGCGAAGAAACCUUUACCAGGACUUGGACAUACUCCGUGGCUAUUCCUAAAAAGAUAGGAAGGUUCCUUCCGGUAACACGGGAUACAGGUUGGUUGCAUGAUUUGCCGUCCAGCUCGUGUCCUGAGAGAUGUUGGGGUUUUAUGUCCCGCAACAGAGCGCAAUACCCUCUAAUCGUGUUAGUGUGCCAUCCUUUCAUU
rnacentral:rRNA from 1 species